rnacentral:rRNA from 1 species
GACAGAGGUGCCAAGCGUUAGGCGGAAUCACUGGGCUCAAAGCGUGUGUAGGCGGGUGCCUAAGUACCUUGUGAAAUCCCACGGCUCAACCGUGGAACGGCUGGGUAUACCGGGUGCCUUGGGUCAUCCAGGGGCUGCCGGAACAAAUGGUGGAGCGGUGAAAUGCGUAGAUAUCGGGAGGAACACCGGUGGCGAAGGCGGCGAUCUGGGUAGAUACUGACGCUGAGGUGCGAAAGCGUGGGGAGCAAACAGG